AGAAAAACCUGCAAGAGUAUCAAGAGAAGAUCUGGAAGAUGUACCGGCUUCAAAGAAAGCUGAAGAAGCUGAAGAUGUGUAUUCCACAAAGAAGCAAAAAAGUAAGUUUAUAAUUACUUUAAAACUAUGAAGUCAUUCUAUAUUAAAGGUAGAAGUAUAAGCCGGCACUUUAGA